AGCGAACGCUGGCGGCAGGCCUAACACAUGCAAGUCGAACGAACUCUUCGGAGUUAGUGGCGGACGGGUGAGUAACACGUGGGAACGUGCCUUUAGGUUCGGAAUAACUCAGGGAAACUUGUGCUAAUACCGAAUGUGCCCUUCGGGGGAAAGAUUUAUCGCCUUUAGAGCGGCCCGCGUCUGAUUAGCUAGUUGGUGAGGUAAAGGCUGACCAAGGCGAAGAUCAGUAGCUGGUCUGAGAGGAUGAUCAGCCACAUUGGGACUGAGACACGGCCCAAACUCCUACGGGAGGCAGCAGUGGGGAAUCUUGCGCAAUGGGCGAAAGCCUGACGCAGCCAUGCCGCGUGAAUGAUGAAGGUCUUAGGAUUGUAAAAUUCUUUCACCUGGGACGAUAAUGACGGUACCCGGAGAAGAAGCCCCGGCUAACUUCGUGCCAGCAGCCGCGGUAA
rnacentral:rRNA from 1 species